UACGUAGGGUGCGAGCGUUGUCCGGAAUUAUUGGGCGUAAAGGGCUCGUAGGCGGUUUGUCGCGUCGGGAGUGAAAUCCACUGGCUUAACUGGUGGCUUGCUUUCGAUACGGGCAGACUGGAGGUAUGCAGGGGAGAACGGAAUUCCUGGUGUAGCGGUGAAAUGCGCAGAUAUCAGGAGGAACACCGGUGGCGAAGGCGGCAUCCUGGACCGAUACUGACGCUGAGGAGCGAAAGCGUGGGAGCGAACAGG
rnacentral:rRNA from 1 species